ACUACUUUUAUCUUAUGAUCGAAUGCCAAUUCUUCAAAAGGCAUCUUUCUUUCUAAACAAAAACAAAACUUUUCAUAGAUAUAAUAUAAUGAAAAGAGACUAAUGUUCAAAAUACGAGGAGACAUAAUGAUCAUGAAGAACACACUAAAAGUAGGGUCAGUGGGUGUAUCCUACUAUCUCAACUAGGUUGAGACAACCUUAGCACCCUCAUCAUUUUCCAUUACUAAAUAUAUCCAUAGAACAAAAUGUAAUAGUUCACUGAGUUUUAUUGCUAAUUAAACUUAAAUGUAAUUUAAGCUGGAGAAACAAAAGCCAUUCCAAUUGAGACAUAUGUCUUCCAUUGAAUAAUAAGCAAAGAGUUUGAAUUAUGGACACUAAGAGGAAGCAUGGAGCCGAGCAGAACCAAAGCAAUCCAACCACUCAAUCGCAAACCUAAUUUCAGACAAUAAGGCUUUGACUGCAUUUGACCAUCAUAUUUGGGCUUUUAAUGAAAACAAAGGACCUCUCAACACUUGGGAAAUAUUAUCGUGGAAUGGAGGUCUAAAAAUCUGAAAGUACAUUAAAGUAUCCGAAGAGCUUCCACCAACAUUUACUAGAGAUGGGGCAUUGAGAAAACAGAUGUUGCAAGUCUUCACCAUUGGCUAAGCAAAGAGAACAAAUACAUGGAGAUACAUGAUGAGCUUGAAGCUUGUGUUGCAUUGUGGAUGAGAGCUUGAACUAGUUCAGGGAGCCUAACAUCACAAUCCAAAUAAGAAUAUUAAUUCUUUUUGGACUGUUGUAUUUCCACAGGGAUUGGAAGAUGUCUUUAUCAAGUGAGGAUGAUGCGUUCGAACAUUUUGAUAAAGAUUUAAUCUUAGAACUCGAUGACACAGUUGUACAACCUAUAUAAUGGAUCCUGUUCAAAUAAGGUCGUCUUGAUAAAGACUUAACCAUGAACUUACUAGAGGAUUCCAAGGACGAAUGCCUUGAAUCGAGGGAUGAAGAGUCUUAAAUUACAUAGCAGCUGCUGGAAUUCUGAUAAUUUCUCAUCUUUUAGUUGUCUUCUAAGCAAAGUUCUUUGAGGAAGUCACCGGAUUCCAAUGGUCACUGAUGCUGCCAUUGGGGGCAGCACUGGAAAAGAUGAGGGAAGGUCAGCUCAAAAGGCUGGUCUGAACACCAUGGAUCAAACCAAAAGUAGAUAUUUUUUCCAUUCUCUAUCUUGAAGACUGCAAGAGAUUCGAAACGGUCGUAAAUCUUUUAAAUAUUAAUCCAUGGGCUCCGUAAACUCUACCAAACUUCCCAGAAGUGUGCCACUGAUGCAGAUCAACUCCAUAUUGCUGAUUCCUUUCCCUUCUUCUUGCAAAGCUUUUGUGGCUAGCUCUCAUCUCACAAGGUGAUUCAUCUUAGAACCUUUCUACCCUUCCCAGAUAAAAUUACUCAUUAUCCUUUCUAAUUCCGCUCUUACUGCUUAGUGAAUUUGGCAUUUGAAAAAUGCACAUGUAGUAUGUUGGGAGAUUCACCAAAACUGCAUUGCAAAGGGUUUAGCUGUCCUCCUUUAGACAGAUUGUAUCUCUUCCAUCUGUCAUGUUUCAAGGCACCCUGUCUAGUAUUGGUUGCCAAAAAAAUUGUUUUUCGGGUAAUCAGCUAGUAUGGCAGCCCCAAGUAUGUGAAAGACUGAUCCACCCUUGCAAUUAAUUCGAGAAGCUGUUAAUAGCAGAGUGUUUUCAUCAAUGUCUAUCCCAUACAAUGUCGAUUUCUCCCAGUUCACUUUCUGCCCCGAAUACCAUUCAAAAAAGCCAAUUGUUUUUAUGAGAUUAUCCAGUAUAGCUUGCAAAAUAAAUUAGGUCCCUUUCUUCUAUGCAGUACGAGGUCAAAAAAGCCAAUUGCUCUUUUGAAUUAGGUCCCUUUCUUCUAUAGAGUACAAGGUCGAGAAAUAAUCUUUGAUUGCUAGCUGAAUAUCUUCCUCGAAGGACAGGAGGACUUCUUUUUCUGCCUUUAUAUCAAAGAAUUCCAAUUCUGAAGUUAGGUCAUUCUCCUUUCUUUCCUUUCUAAUUUUUAGUCAGCCAACCAGGUUUUUCAUCUGUCUUUCACUUUACGCAGCUUUAGAUUUAUUACAAAAUCAGCCUAACCAGCAGAAUUAUCAUCUUCCAAGGUUUCUUUAAUUAUACCUGAGAAAGAAACAUUCAACAGCCAACUAUUGUAGAAUCUGAAUGGUGUGGGUGGGACCCCCAAAGACCUGCUCCUGCCUCUAAAAGCAGGAAAUGGUCUGGGAAUAGUCGGGCAUUCAUGUUAACAAUGGAAUUAUCAAAUAGUUCAAUCCAUUCUUUUACCCCUUUAUAUUGAAAAUUAUAAGUAAAACAAAAUUCCUUUAGAAAAAUAAAUACGUUGGGCCAUUCAUUCAACACCUGUAUCAUUAAUAGUUAAGAAACAGAGAAUCAUGGAAGCCUUCUUCCCCCAUUAAUCAUCUCUUUUCAAGUUUUUCUUAGCACUGUUAAUGAUGUGCUCGAAUGAACAUCAACACCCAGACGACGAGAAAAGGAAACUAAGAAAGUUGAGCUACUGAUAAAUACAAAGAGGAAGUUGAUCAAUCCUUUAGAGGCUCCCAUCUAUCCCUCACUCGUCAACUCCUUCCCAAGAAAAUUUAUCACAGUUUUGUGAUUCUCAAGGCUCUUACUAGAUAGGAAUUCUAAACUCACACAGGCUCUUUUAUAGGGAAAUUUUAGAAAAAUGAUGAAAUAUACAACAGGAAAACUCCAAGACAAAGUAAUAACCAACCACCUUCUAAUUUUCACAUAUCAGGUAGAGUAGUAAUACAAAAAGAAGUGAGUAGGCACUUCAAAAAAAAAAGAAA